GCUUCCGUGGUCUGGUGGUCUGACAUCUGCGCGUUCUGAGUAAAUCAUUUUCGCAGACGAUAGGGGUUCGAAUCCCUGCGGAGGCU